GAGAGAGAGAGAGAGAGAGAGAGAGAGAGAGAGAGAGAUGUGUUUAUUUGGGCUAUGGAGUAAGUUUUUGAGAUUGGUUUUGAUGUGGGGUAAGUUUAAAGCGGUGGAUUUAGAGUUGCUCAGGUGGUGGAAAUGGAGGAAGAGAGAGAAAAUGGUGUAAUUUGAGAGACAGAAAAUGGUGUAAUUUUAGAGAGAAAAACAAAAUAACGGUGGGUUUGGUUUGGAUGAGGAAAGGGGCGGGUUAUGACGGGUAGAGGACCAGUCAAAAGGCGGCCGGUCUGCCCGUUACAUGUGUGGUGACGCUUUCACCAAGAGGAUUUUACCAGCAUUUAUUGACAACGAAAAG
rnacentral:lncRNA from 1 species